GGGGAUUUAGCUCAGCGGCAUAAAGCGCCUGCCUUGCACGCAUGCAGUUGUGAGUUCAAUCCCCA
rnacentral:tRNA from 1 species